UGUCCCAUAACACCCAUUUAUUUUCUCAUACAAGACUUUAUAGCUCAUGAAAGGUCAUUUUCCAAAAUUUAAGAAGAUUCUUGAUUUUCUUUCUUUUGUUUUGAGACCCAAAUAAUACCAAUGCAAAUGUAAGGUAAAAGUCCGAGUCAGACUUUUCCCGCCAUAUUUUAAAUCUCAAAUAUCUCGAAAAGGAGGUCCAUGACCUAUCAAUAUUUUUAGCUUAUUUUCAUCCUUCAAGAAUGCUCUACCAACUUAUAGUAUCAAUUUUAAUUUCUUAAUUUAUUAAUUUUCACCUAACCUCACCUAAGUACAUCCUUAAGGUGCUCUAUAUAUGUUACUGUUAAUAUAUUAAUAACUACGUAUACGAGCAUGUACAAUAUUGCAUAACUGAUUUUAUGAGUGCCCCGUGUGUAAGGGUUAGGGUGCAAAUAAGAAGUACGCUUUAGAAGCGAAGCUCCUGCUAGAGGAGGGAGAUAAAGACUAGGUAACAGGUAACAGGUAUAAAAAGGGGAGCCC
rnacentral:lncRNA from 1 species